GACGAACGCUGGCGGCGUGCCUAAUACAUGCAAGUAGAACGCUGAAGGGGGAGCUUGCUUCUCUGGAUGAGUUGCGAACGGGUGAGUAACGCAUAGGUAACCUGCCUGGUAGCGGGGGAUAACUAUUGGAAACGAUAGCUAAUACCGCAUAAUAGUAGAUGUCGCAUGACAUUUGCUUAAAAGGUGCAAUUGCAUCACUACCAGAUGGACCUGCUUUGUAUUAGCUAGUUUGUGAGGUAACGGCCCAACAAGGCCACGGUUCAUAGGCGACCUGAGAGGGGGGACCGCCAAACUGGGACUGGAGCACGGGCCCGGAUCCUUCGGGAGGGCGCCGUAGGGAAUUUUCGGCAAUGGGCGGAAGUCUGACCGAGCCACGCCGCGUGGGUGGAGAAGGUCUUCCGAUCGUAAAGGUCUGUUGUAAGGGAAGAACGAGUGUGGGAGUGGAAAGUUCACACUGUGACGGUACCUUACCAGAAAGGGACGGCUAACUACGUG
rnacentral:rRNA from 1 species